UGCGGAAGGANCAUUAAAGAAUCGCCCCGUUUUUUUGAAAUGGGUUCUAUUCCCAAACCGUGUAUACAUACCUUUGUUGCUUUGGCAGGCCGCCUUUUAGGCGUUGGCUCCGGCUGACUGCGCCUGCCAGAGGACCCAAACUCGUUUGUUUAGUGAUGUCUGAGUACUAUAUAAUAGUUAAAACUUUCAACAACGGAUCUCUUGGUUCUGGCAUCGAUGAAGAACGCAGCGAAAUGCGAUAAGUAAUGUGAAUUGCAGAAUUCAGUGAAUCAUCGAAUCUUUGAACGCACAUUGCGCCCCUUGGUAUUCCGAGGGGCAUGCCUGUUCGAGCGUCAUUAUAACCACUCAAGCUUCGGCUUGGUCUUGGGGUUCGCGGUCUCGCGUCCCUUAAAAUCAGUGGCGGUGCCGUCUGGCUCUAAGCGUAGUAAUUCUCUCGCUAUAGGGUCCCGGUGGUUGCCUGCCAGAACCCCCCAUUUUUUACGGUUGACCUCGGAUCAGGUAGGGAUACCCGCUGAACUUAAGCAUAUCA
rnacentral:rRNA from 1 species